GCCUGGGUGGCUCAGUCGGUUGAGCGUCCGACUUCAGCUCAGGUCAUGAUCUCACGGUUUGUGGGUUUGAGCCCCGCGUCGGGCU
rnacentral:tRNA from 1 species